rnacentral:rRNA from 1 species
GAUGAACGCUGGCGGCGUGCCUAAUACAUGCAAGUCGAGCGAACGGACGAGGAGCUUGCUCCUCUGACGUUAGCGGCGGACGGGUGAGUAACACGUGGAUAACCUACCUAUAAGACUGGGAUAACUUCGGGAAACCGGAGCUAAUACCGGAUAAUAUAUUGAACCGCAUGGUUCAAUAGUGAAAGACGGUUUUGCUGUCACUUAUAGAUGGAUCCGCGCUGCAUUAGCUAGUUGGUAAGGUAACGGCUUACCAAGGCAACGAUGCAUAGCCGACCUGAGAGGGUGAUCGGCCACACUGGAACUGAGACACGGUCCAGACUCCUACGGGAGGCAGCAGUAGGGAAUCUUCCGCAAUGGGCGAAAGCCUGACGGAGCAACGCCGCGUGAGUGAUGAAGGUCUUCGGAUCGUAAAACUCUGUUAUUAGGGAAGAACAAAUGUGUAAGUAACUGUGCACGUCUUGACGGUACCUAAUCAGAAAGCCACGGCUAACUACGUG